rnacentral:lncRNA from 1 species
AGCCUGGGCAACACAGGAAGACCCCAUCUCUGCAAAUAGUUGUUUUUAAAAAAUUAGCUGGGCAUGAUGGUGCAUGCCUGUCAUUCUACCUACUCAGGAGGCUAUGGCAGGAGAAUCACUUGAGCCUGGGAGGUCCAGGCUGCAGUGAGCCAUGAUUGUGUCACUGCACUAUAGCCUGUGUGACAGAGCAAGACCUUGUCUCAAAAAUAAAAUGAAAUAAAAUAAAUAAAAAUAGAAAAUCAGAACUCAGUAGAAAAAUUAGGGUUGAGA